GGCCUCCCAUGAUGCUCGCACUGGGCUGAGUCCCCUGACAAUAAACACUGUGCCCCCCAGGCUUUGACUCCUGGGGGCUGAGGGGUCC
rnacentral:snoRNA from 1 species